CCCCGUUCCCGUGUCUGUAAAUCAGAGAUGGUACCCACUUCGUAGUUCGCUGUGAAGCCUGUGAGCGAGGAGGGGCUUUAAAAUACAGAACUUUGCACUGGAGCGCUCCCCGUCCUCGCAGCCUGCUUGGUGUGCAGGUGGUUCCCAGGCGGCUUCUGCUUCCGAAAAGCAGAUCGUCCCUUUAUCUCGAGUCUUCUCCCCGCCUCUCCCUCUUCUCCCUACCCUAUUUGUCUUCUUGGGAACAAAUGGCACAUUCAUCAGAGUGGAGAUCCAUAAACGGGACUGGCGAGCCGAAGAUUUAAUUCUGAAGAAUAGGAUCUGCUCUGUGCUUUCAGGUUAAAAAGCUGUAAAUAUCUUUGUAAUUCUAGCAGUACUUUGCCCUCUUCUGCCAUCUGAACGCGUGCUCCCUGCUGACCUCAUCGGCUCCCAUAAAGAUACGAGAUAGGGUUUCGCCAUGUUGCCCAGGCUGGUCUGGAACUCCUGUAUUCAAGCCAUCCGCCCGCCUCGGCCUCUCGAAGGGCUGGGAUUACAGGCGUGCGCCACUGCGCCCUGCCCCUUAACAGAUUUUUGUUAGUGGGAAUACGUAGUUCCCCGCGCUUCAAGAAAAUAGAGUCUUCCGCGAGAGGCCGAGAUAUGAACAACCCUUCACGUUAGGAAUCUGAAAAGGACCAUUGGGGUCUGGAGUAAAAAAUUCUCUUUCCACAGCAGGAAUCAAGGGUGGCCUGUCUGCCUCUGCUCAGAGGGUUCCUGUUACAGGAUAAUUGUUUUGAAAAGAGUAAAAUCAUGACUCCUCUACAAAUAUAAAAUGCACACACAUCAAAGACUUUAAUUCAUUAAUGAAUGAGGAGACCAGUAAAGCUAGCCCUGUCCAGAGGAAAACACAAAGUGUACACACAUAUAUAGGCAAUCAGGAAUGCUGAAACGAACAUGUUAAUAAAUGCACAACUGGCCGGGUGCAGUGGCUCAUGCCUGUAAUCCCAGCACUGUGGGAGGCUGAGGCGGGCAGAUCACUUGAAGUUAGGAGUUCAAGACCAGCCUGGCCAACAUCUUGAAACCUCAUCUCUACUAAAAAUACAAAAAAUUAGCCGGGCGUGAUAGUGCACGCCUACAAAUCCCAGCUACUCGGGAGGCUGCGGCAGAAGAAUCUCUGGAACCUGGGAAGCAGAGGUUGCAGUGAACUGAGAUCACACCACUGCACUCCAGCCUGGACCACAGAGCAAAACUCUGUCUUAAAAAUUAUAUUUUUAAUAAAAAUAAAUAAUAAAUGCAGAACUGGCCUCGGGGUGCUGGGAGAGCAAUUGCACUUCUACCAGGCAUCUCUAUGGACAAGAAUCAUUGGCAUUCCUAUGAAUUUUCUACAACUUACCAAGUUGGAAAAUAGCUGCAAGAUUUUAUAAGGCAAAAAUCACUAAAAAAUCAGGUAAUCCAGAAAGGUGCUUUAGAUAAGGCCUAGCAUGCCACAGGACACCCAAUAAUUUUUGGAGUUUUUGCCAUUUUAACUUUUUUAGUUUUUCCAGACAUUCCCAAGGUGGCACCUUCCAUAGUUGUACAGUUUCAACUGUGUUAAAAUUUCUUUGUCGGGGACUGUUGUGGGGUGGGGGAACGGGGAGGGAUAGCAUUAGGAGAUAUACCUAAUGCUAAGUGACGAGUUAAUGGGUGCAGCACACCAACAUGGCACAUGUAUACAUAUGUAACAAACCUGCAC
ensembl:lncRNA novel transcript